GAUUUCUGGUCUAGUGCGCCUGGCCCACUGCCGUUAGGUUUGUGAGUGCCGGUGCGCGCUUGCCAUCUUUUCUAGUCAGCAGCCUCUGUCCUUUACUGGUCGGAGGUUUGUGGGCUAGAUCUAUUACUUUGAAAAAAUUAGAGUGUUUAAAGCAGGCUUGCGCUAUGAAUAUAUUAGCAUGGAAUAAUAAUUUAGGACUUCGGUUCUAUUUUGUUGGUUUCUAGGACUGAAGUAAUGAUUGAUAGGGAUAGUUGGGGGUGCUAGUAUUCAGCGGCCAGAGGUGAAAUUCUCGGAUUCGCUGAAGACUAACUUAUGCGAAAGCAUU
rnacentral:rRNA from 1 species